rnacentral:piRNA from 1 species
UAAGACAAACCUGGUACAAGAUGAAUGC